rnacentral:rRNA from 1 species
UACUCCUUCCGUGCCGAAUGUUUUAUAUUCCCGAGUGUGAAAAGCCAAUGCUGGAUAGACGGUUUAGAUACGUCACUGAGUGCCCCAUGGGUCAUCUUGUUUCCUAUUCAGUGGAAGCUACGUAAAGCAUCCCUAUAUUAA